AGAAACCCUAGAAGCCGAUAGGUCACCCAAAAUCAACCAACCAAAAAUCAUCAUAAAAUCUUUCAGAACGUUCAGGAGAAGAAAAUACACUCGGAUAUCAUGAUGAGAGACUCAGAAAAGUCUUCGAUAGGUCGAAAUCUUCAUCGACCGUGAGGUCUCAGAAAUCACCCCCAAAAACCUCGAAACAGACUUCAUCCAAGACCACGAAGCACAUAGAAACAUGAUCGGAUCGUCGUCGAGGCUCUGAUACCAUGAAAA
rnacentral:lncRNA from 1 species